CUCCCCGUAGCUCAGUCGAACAGAGCGCGACGCUACGAACGUCGAGGCCGGAGGUUUGAAUCCUUCCGGGGAGGCCA
rnacentral:tRNA from 2 species